rnacentral:lncRNA from 10 species
GCUAAAACUGGUAGAGAUUUGAUCACUAGUAAGCUGUUGGUCAAAUUGACAAACAAGGGAAAACUUUUACAGAGAUACAGAAAUAUUUUCCAAGUUAUUUUAUUGCUCUAUGCAUUUCUGAAUAUAUGCAUUUGAUUAUUCCCAUGUAUCCGUGAUGGGCUUAUUUUCGUGGCCCUGAUGAUCCCUGAUAUUCACCGCCUUGUGCUGUCCUUCCCAGUGACCUUGGCUUUUGACUUGAUUUGGCCAGUGGAUGUCAGAAAGCAUGGCCCAGGCUUGAUAAGAGCAUGCAGGUUGGGCUUAUAUUCCUGGGACACCCUCUCUUACAGUGCUGAGCCUCAGGUAAGGAAAUUCAGUUACCCAUCUGGGAAAAUGGCCACAUGGAGAGAAAGGAUGUCCAGGCAGCUCCCAGCCAAGUGAAGAAGCCAUCCUGGAUGUUCCAACCACAUCAGACACUAUUACCCAGCCCAGCUGAGCUCAGCCCAGAUUGCCAAGUCAUGGGGAAUAAUCAGUUGUCAUUGUUUCAAUUCAGUAAAUUGUAGGGCUGUUGUUUGCAAUAACAAUAGAUAGCAAAGACAGUGCUACUUACACAAACUGAAGCAACAUUACUUAUCACAAUAUACGUAUAUAUAACAAGAAAGAAUCAAAUGAAUCACUGAGGAAGUUUUAUAGAAAAAUGAGGAGUAGAAGAAAUAAUAAAGCCCAAAGUAAGUUUGUCUCACAGAAGGGCUUGCAGUUGCAUCCUGAAUGGUUGCAGUUGCAUCCAGGUAGUGCUUAGCUUUGUGUGCCGAAAUCAAACCCAGAGACAUGAUCAGCCAUGAGAUCCAGCACCUAGAAGGAAAUGCAGCAGCGUCUAUAUGUAGACACUCGUGUCGAUGUUGGCAUGGAGUGUAAAAAACCAGGCAGAGCCUAUUCCCAAAGGCUUCACUGAAUGAGGGUUGAGUGUCAAUUUUCCUUUUAUCUUCUCUUUAUGGUGAAAUAUAAAAUACAACCAGAAAAGUACACAGGACCAAGAUAAUUUAUCCACAAAGUAAACCUGCAUAACCAGUACUCAGGUCGAAAGGAUAACUUUGCCACUCCCAGAGGACCUGCCCCGAAAGGGGCUGUAGAAAGCACUGCUGCCACAAGAAUUGUAUUUACCUCUUGGUGUACUUGUCCAUGCAAUGCUGUUCGGAACCGA